AGCGAACGCUGGCGGCAGGCUUAACACAUGCAAGUCGAGCGGGCAUCCUUGUGGUGUCAGCGGCAGACGGGUGAGUAACGCGUGGGAACGUGCCCUUCGGUUCGUAGUAACUCAGGGAAACUUGAGCUAAUACCGGAUACGUGCGAGAGCAGAAAGGUUUAUCUGCCGAAGGAUCGGCCCGCGUCUGAUUAGCUAGUUGGUGAGGUUAUGGCUCACCAAGGCGACGAUCAGUAGCUGGUCUGAGAGGAUGAUCAGCCACACUGGGACUGAGACCCGGCCCAGACUCCUACGGGAGGCAGCAGUGGGGAAUAUUGGACAAUGGGGGCAACCCUGAUCCAGCCAUGCCGCGUGAGUGAUGACGGCCUUAGGGUUGUAAAGCUCUUGUCUCCGGGACGAUAAUGACGGUACCGGAGGAAUAAGCCCCGGCUAACUUCGUG
rnacentral:rRNA from 1 species